rnacentral:rRNA from 1 species
CCUACGGGAGGCAGCAGUGAGGAAUAUUGGUCAAUGGGCGUAAGCCUGAACCAGCCAAGUCGCGUGAGGGAUGAAGGUUCUAUGGAUCGUAAACCUUUUUUAUAAGGGAAUAAAGUGUGGGACGUGUCCUGUUUUGUAUGUACCUUAUGAAUAAGGAUAGGCUAAAUCCGUGCCAGCAGCCGCGGUAAUACGGAGGGUGCGAGCGUUAUCCGGAUUUAUUGGGUUUGAAGGGUGAGUAGGCGGCCUUUUAUGUCAGCGGUGAAAGUCUGUGGCUCAACCAUAGAAUUGCCGUGGAGACUGGUAGUCUUGAGUAUGUUUGAGGCAGGUGGAAUGCGUGGUGUAGGGGUGAAAUGCGUAGAUAUCACGCAGAACCCUGAUUGCGAAGGCAGCCUGCCAAGCCAUGACUGACGCUGAUGCACGAAAGCGUGGGGAGCAAACAGGAUUAGAUACCCGGGUAGUC